CUUGGUCAUUUAGAGGAAGUAAAAGUCGUAACAAGGUUUCCGUAGGUGAACCUGCGGAAGGAUCAUUAACGUAUCUCUGACGGCGGAGGCGCGCCCUGCUCCGGACCGAAAGGCCGUGCAGCGGGUGCGCCCGAGUCGCUCAACCCUUUCGAACCCACCGUGCACUCUUGUCGGCGAGGGGCCCAGCGCCCCGAGCCGGAUCACAAACACCUUUAAAAACAGAAUGACCAGCGCACAUGUGUGUCGCCUAAACUUAAACAACUUUCAACAACGGAUCUCUUGGCUCUCGCAUCGAUGAAGAACGCAGCGAAAUGCGAUAAGUAAUGUGAAUUGCAGAAUUCAGUGAAUCAUCGAAUCUUUGAACGCACCUUGCGCUCCUUGGUAUUCCGAGGGGCAUGCCUGUUUGAGUGUCAUGAAACCAUCAAACUACAAUUGUUUUUUAUGAGCAAUUGCCUGUUUGGACGUUGGAUGCUUGCUGGACAGUUGCAUGACCCAGCUCAUCUGAAAUAUAUUAGCUGAUCUUAAUAUCAUGGAUUAUCCACUUGGCGUGAUAAGUAUCACCCGCUGAGGACUUAUCCGGAAAUAAUAGAUUGCUUCUAGUCAUAGAUACAACUAUUGUAUUAUAUUGAAUCAUCUGACCUCAAAUCAGGUAGGACUACCCGCUGAACUUAAGCAUAUCAAUAAGCGGAGGAA
rnacentral:rRNA from 1 species